UUGGCUCUUGAUUACUUUCUGCUUGCUGGUGAUCACUUUAUCCAGGGUUAUUCAAUCUUUGACCUAGGGUUAUCAUCUAAAUUCGAUCCCCAAUUUCUCUCUCCUCAAGUCCUCAGUCUCUACCUCAGAUUUCAAUCUCUCUCCUUAGUCUUUACCUCAGAUUUCUCUCCUCAAGCUACGUGACUUUCUUAUCUUUUUUCUCCAUUGAAGAAGCUUCCGAGCCUUUUUGUUCCUCCAUUAAAGCGAAUUCUGAGCUUUCCAUUUACUGAAGCAGCUUACAAGGUUCAAUCUGAUCGAAAAUUAAUGUCGGGAUCUCUUUAUCGAUUUGCUCGCUUUCAUUCUGGGUAUGUAAAAUUUUGAUGAUUUAAUUUCCAGUGUUCUAGGUCGAAUUGUCGCUCAUGGAUUUCUAGGUUUUUGGGCCAACUCAAUGAUUCCAAGCCUGGGAUGUACAGUCGAGCAAUCUUUAAGGGAAUUUGAAAGACAGAACAAACCUCUUUUUCUACAAUUGAAAGAGGUUUGAUUCCUUCCACUGUGAUCAGAGAGGGAUUAUCUUGAAAUUUCUUCAGAUUCUUACAAUUUGAAGAUUUUAAAGGUUUAGAUUUUUUUUGGUGGGAGAUCUAUUGUUAGCGCCUAUUGAUCAUUACUCAGCGGCUCAUGCUGGCCCUUGAAAGUCGAGGUGCAUGCGGUGGGAUUAAAUCAUGAGUAAGGGUAAUACGAGGCUUUCAUGUAGCAAUGGGAUGCGGUUCAGGGAUAUUUCUAUAGCUAAUUCAAAAGGUGAAUGCUGAUGCAAAGAAUGGAAUUUCAUGGCAAAAGAGGAGAUUGAGAAGAAGAUGGAGCUUUGUGAGCGAGUUCAAGCUCAACUCGGUCGAGUCAAGGAGGAGACUAUAAAUCAUAAUAGAUAGUGUAAGGAUGUUGGAGGAAAAUCUAAACAUGAUAUUUGGAGGUAUAGAGGUUCUGAAGUUUCCUAUGGUUGUAGCAAUGGCAGCAGUAAAUUCAUGAUGUGAAGUACUUUCCUCCCGUUUCUCUGUUUUCUUUCUGAAAUAGUCGGAAGGAGGAGGAUGGAGCAAGGUUUGCUCGUUUCGAGUUCGAGGUGGAUAAACUCAAGUAUUAUUUGAUGUUCGACCUAUUUUUUGUGCAUAACACUCUGUGGAAAGAUAGAGAUUUGGAGUGCUUGGUUUUUUGCACCUCGUUGGAGAGUACAAAAGAUACAAUGUUGCUGUUGUGUGAAAAUUGACUCAGCAGACCA